rnacentral:rRNA from 1 species
AGAGUUUGAUCCUGGCUCAGAACGAACGCUGGCGGCGUGGCUAAGGCAUGCAAGUCGAACGGGACUAAUCUCUGGGUAACUGGGGAUUAGUUAAGUGGCGAACGGGUGAGGAACGCAUGGGUAACGUACCCCGAACUCAGGAAUAGCGGCGUCCACUUCGGUGGACUCGCGAAAGUGCCGGUAAUACGUGAUGACCCGGCGGGAGCGCAUGUUCCUGCCGGCAAAGGUCCGCCGGUUUGGGAUCGGCCCAUGUCCUAUCAGCUAGUUGGUGAGGUAAUGGCUCACCAAGGCUACGACGGGUAGCGGGCGUGAGAGCGUGGCCCGCCACAUCGGGACUGAGACACUGCCCGGACACCUACGGGUGGCUGCAGCAACGAAUAUUCCGCAAUGGGCGCAAGCCUGACGGAGCGACGCCGCGUGCAGGAUGAAGUCCUUCGGGAUGUAAACUGCUGUCAGGGGUUAGGAAGAUCUGACCACCCCCAAAGGAAGCACCGGCUAAUUCCGUGCCAGCAGCCGCGGUAAUACGGAAGGUGCAAGCGUUGUUCGGAAUCACUGGGCUUAAAGGGCGUGUAGGCGGAAUGGUGGUGCUUUGUGAAAUCCCUCGGCUCAACCGAGGAACUGCUUGGCAAACCCCCAUUCUUGAGGCAGGUAGAGGCGAUUGGAACGUUUGGUGGAGCGGUGAAAUGCGUAGAGAUCAAACGGAACACCGGUGGCGAAAGCGGAUCGCUGGGCCUGUCCUGACGCUGAGACGCGAAAGCGUGGGUAGCAAACAGGAUUAGAUACCCUGGUAGUCCACGCCGUAAACGAUGCGCACGAGGUACGGGAGUCUCUGACGAAAUCCGUGCCGAAGGGAAACCGAUGAGUGCGCCGCCUGGGGAGUACGGCCGCAAGGCUAAAACUCAAAGGAAUUGACGGGGGCUCACACAAGCGGUGGAGCAUGUGGAUUAAUUCGAAACAACGCGCAGAACCUUACCUGGGUUUGACAUGCUGGGAUGCACCCGCGAAAGCGGGCUAUGCUACCUUCGGGUGAAACCAGCACAGGUGCUGCAUGGCUGUCGUCAGCUCGUGCUGUGAAGUGUCGGGUUAAGUCCCUUAACGAGCGAAACCCUUGUCGCUAGUUGCCAGCGGUUCGGCCGGGAACUCUAGCGAGACUGCCGGCGUUAAGCCGGAGGAAGGUGGGGAUGACGUCAAGUCCUCAUGGCCUUUAUGCCCAGGGCGUCACACGUGCUACAAUGGUCCGUACAGAGCGAAGCGAGACCGCGAGGUGGAGCAAAUCGCACAAAGCGGGCCUCAGUUCGGAUUGGAGUCUGCAAUUCGACUCCAUGAAGUCGGAAUCGCUAGUAAUCGCGUAUCAGCCAUGACGCGGUGAAUGUGUUCCUGAGCCUUGUACACACCGCCCGUCAAGUCAUGGAAGCUGGGAGCACCCGAAGUCCGUUUAGCUGACCCGCAAGGGAGGCGGCGGCCGACGGUGAGCUU